rnacentral:RNase_P_RNA from 2 species
AGGGUGCGGUAAGAGCGCACCGCGCGACCAGCAAUGGAAGCGGCACGGUAAACCCCACUCGGAGCAAGCCCAAAUUGCGCAGAACGCCCCGGCUUCGGCUGGUGCAUCGCCUGUUUUCGGGCGGCUGCGGUGGUAGGGCGCGCGAACCAGAGGGCAAUCUCUGGUCCAGAUGAAUGGCCAUCAGGGGCCCGGGUUCGCCCGGGCUCGCUACAGAACCCGGCUUACAGGCCCUCUGCUCUU